UCGAGAAGAGCUUCAACCCACUGAUCUAUCUUUACCCCGACAUCCACAAAGACACGGCCUUCGGACGCUACUACCAAGUCACCGGAUCAUGUGCAACAACAACAAGAAUGAUUAUUUGGGCAGAAAUCAACCCUACCCCGCYUCCAUCUCCACCCGGAGAGGUGCCCAUGAACAUCGAAACAAACAUUAACGAAAUCAACCCAAGUAUAGAAGAUGAACUGAACGCACAGGAGAUUUUUGAGCUCUUUCAUGAGCUCUGGACCACACAAUGCACUUACGAUCUGAACUUCUCAUCCUGAAUCAGAAGGAUCCAAUCAGAAACAAGAAGCUCGUCUUCAUGUUUAUAUAAGUUCAAACUAGAAUAGAAUAGAAUUCAACUUCAUUGUCAUUGCACUGUCACAAGUACAAGCAACGAAAUGUAGUUUGCAUCUAUCCAGAAGUGCUAUACAGGGUAUAAUUAUGUAUUUACAGGUGUGCAAAAGUUGUUUUAAAAAUAAAAUGUUCAGUAUAAAAAUAAUAUAAAUAAAAAAUAUGGGAGCUAUGUGCACAUAUAGA